rnacentral:sRNA from 1 species
UCGCAGGUUCGAAUCCUGCACGACCCACCAAUUUAAAGGUGGUUACUGGUAGAGAACGUGAAGGAUAACGUUGCGUUAGCAACGGCCCGAAGGGUGAGACGAAGUCCAGUCAUCCUGCACGACCCACCA